rnacentral:lncRNA from 10 species
GUUAAAAUUUAAGGGGAAAAAUAAGACUCCAAGAAAAAGAUACAAACCAGCCCUUUUUAUCUUUAAUUAAAUAGAAAAUACAAACUAAUUCUUUUAACUUUUAUUUAUUUAUUUAUUUAUUUAUUUUGAGACAGGGUCUGGCUCUGUCACCCAGGCUGGAGUGCAGUGGCACGAUCUUGGCUCACAACUACCUCCGCCUCCCCAGGCUUAAGCAAUCCUCCCACCUCAGCCUCCCAAGUAGCUGAAACUACAGGUGUGCGCCAUCACCCCCAGGUUACCUAAGGGAACCCCAGAGGAAUUCAAGGAGGAUGGGGUGAUUCUGAAGCUACGGUCCAGCAUGGCAUGCUAUGGUCUUGAAGCCUAUGAAAUUCACUCUUCAACAAACUUGGCAUCUACGUUAAGCAUGUGAAUGUACAGAGUUAUCAAUCAACAAUAGCCUUUAAGAUUAUUGUAAUCCCCUAAGUACUUCGGCCCCAGGUAGCCACCCACUGCUGGAUGUCAGAGGACAUCACGGUGCUCUUUCCUGCCUGCACCCCUAGUCUGGAAUGCUUACCCCACAUCUCUGCUGAGUGAACUCCUUCCUAUUCAUGCUUCAAGACCCAGCUCAGUCCUGGCUCAGCUGACCCCUUGGUUCCUGUGUCUGUUCCCUGCUGGGCUGCAGGUAACCAAUUGAAAGAUAAGAUACCAUAGACAGACAUCAACUUUAUUCCUGACUAAAGCUCAAAAGAAGGGCGUGGCGUAGAUUUACAGUGACCAUCCUAACACUCACGCGCAGAGUCACACGGUCCCACACUGGGCUGGACCAGCCCUGCUAAGCCCACAAGAGGUGGGGAGAACAGCAGCCGCUUCCUCUUUGUGGGGCCCAGGCCUGAGCUUCCCUCCGUUCCUGCCCCGGAUCUGACCACUGGGAUUGUGGGAGAGGGUGUCAAAGGACAGUUUUCUCCCAUAGUUUUCCCUUCCAGGGAGAAGAGUGGAAAUCCCCUCAUCUCAAAGGCAACAUGAGAUUGGAGAAUGUACUCUCAAAUCCCCAAACAGCAACAGAAUUGUUCUGCUUGCUUCAGAGCAGAGGCUCCGCAGCCCUUUCCAGACCUCUCCCAAGCGUGGAAAUGGACGAAGGGCUGGAUGGGGCUCAGAGGGGAGGUCAGGCGGGACUCCCUCAGACAGCAGCUGGGGUUCCUCUGUUCCAGGCCCAGCUCUCACUGAAACAGGAGAGGGUGUGAAGGAAUGGAUUUGGAACUGUCAAGAACUCCUUCCUUAGUGGGCAGUGGAGGUAAUGCAGGGUUCAGACCAUCUGUGCCCUGGACAGAGGCCUCUUUCUUCCCCAGGAAUGCUAAGCACAUGGGCAUCCUGAUACCUCAACUCCUCCAGUCCCAAAUACUCUGCCUGUUUGUCCCCUUUGUCCUGAGCCACCCCGUAGGACCUGCAGGUCAGGCACUGACUUCAUGUCAGGUCCCCGAAGCAGUUUUGUUCUCUCAGCAGUGUCCACUGGCCUGCAGCCAGGCACCUCUCUCCCCCAGCCUGGGUCACUGGCAAGGGAGCAAGAAGAGUUCUGGGCUCACAGCAGGCAGUGGAGUGUAGUCACAGAGCCUGAUCCGGCUUGAAAUCCCAGAUCCUUUGCUUACUAGGCUGUGUGGCCUUAGGUGAGUUACUUAAUCUCUCCGUGCUUCAGUUUCUGCAUAUGUAAAACAGGGAUAAUAUCUAGCUCACUGGGUUAUGAUGAGACGUAAGUAACUUCAUACAAACCCCUUAGGACUGAUGCCUGGGCAUUUCUAAGUACUCAGUGAAGGCAAGCUGCUGUUUUUAUGGGCCCAGGUCUAGGAAAAAAGAAUCAAACAGCCAGGGGAAAGGGGAUGCUCUCCACUGUAUAUUAAGUUCUAUCAUAGGGACCAUUUUAGCUAAACACAGAAAAACAGAGGAGGGGGCUGGGUGUGGUGGCUCAUGCCUGUAAUCCCAGACCUUAGGAGGCUGGAUUGCUUGAGCCCAGGAGUUCGAGACCAGCCUGGGCAAUAAAGUGAGACCCCCAUCUACAAAAGAUACAAAAUUUAGCUGGGUGUGGUGGCGCAUGCCUGUAGUUCCAGCUACUAGGGGGCAGGGUGAGGUGGGAGGGUAACUUGAGCCUGGGAGGCAGAGGUUGCAGUGAGCUGAGAUUGCAUCACUGGUCUCCAGCCUGGGCGACAGAGGGAGAUCCUAUCUCAAAAAAAAAAAAAAAAAAAAGACAGAGGAGGAACAAGGAACAAUUAUCCCCCAUUUUACAGAUCAAAAGCUGAGUGAAGCAGUGGUCCAGCUGGAAUUCAACACCUGAGAUAUCUGACUCCAGAUACCAGCCCUUCCUUGCUUCCCACUAGCUGCCUAACCCAGAGAGGAGAUUGGGAAAAGAGAAACAAGUUACAGAAUUCAAGAGUAGGUAUCAUCUGGGGUCUUCCUGAAGGAACAAGUGUUGCUCCAGAGAAGCCAGAAAUUCUUAUCUCUGCUUUGCUCUAACCACCUCUUUAGGCUUUAUGACUGAAGAGUCCCUUUGGCCCCUUAACUCCACAAGGCUGACCCUGGUGAUCAGCAGCUGAGAUCUACAUGAUACAGUCCAGACACCAGAAGGAGACUGAAUCUCUCUCCCAAAUCUCAGCUCUAAAAUUCCCAAGAGAGGGCCUCAUGGGUCCAGGCAGUGUCUGGUGUCCGUCCUGCAAUGGCCAGGAGCCAGGUUUUCUUGUAGGAGUGUGACAGCUCCUCCUGCAGUCGGGGAUCCUGGAUGGGGCUGAGGAGAAGUUCCAAGGCAAGGAGGAUUGGCAUCUGCUCCAUAAGUGCAUUCUUCUCUUUGCACUUGAUCUUUUAUCUACCUCAUAGAUAGAUCCUUCUUGCUCACACUUUCAGCCUGUCCUUUUUUUUUUUUUUUUUUUUUUUUGAGACAGGGUCUCGCUCUGUCACUCAAGCUGGAGUGCAGUGGCAUGAACUUGGCUCACUGCAGCCUCCACCUCCCAAGUUCAAGUGAUUCUCCUGCCUCAGCCUCCCAGGUAGCUGGGAUUACAGGCGUGUGCCACCACACCUGGUUAAUUUUUUUGUAUUUUUAGUAGAGAUAGGGUUUCACCAUGUUGACCAGGCUGGUCUUCAACUCCUGACCUCCCCAGUGAUCCACCCACCUAGGUCUCCCAAAGUGCUGGGAUUACAGGCAUGAGCCACUGUGCCCAGCGCUUUCAGCCAGUUUGACCUCUACUCAUGCAAAUUUUACCUUUCCCUUUAUGCCUCACUCCACCUCACGGCUUCACUCUCUUCUCCCUGAUCGCACCCCACUGUGACUGCCUGAAAUGCCACAUGUUUCUUCAUUCAGAUUUCUCAGAUAAUUCAAUGGUUCCACCCAUAAUUCCACACCUGGCCACUUCAUAGACAAUGACUCACUUAAGGACAGGCUGCCUCAGGGUGCACAGCCUGUAUUCAGGAAUCUGCUAGAGCAACACAUAGCUGUACCUUCUGCAAGGCUGUGGGCUGGAUGACUCCACUGUGGGCGUGGAACACGGGCUGGUGUCAUAAGGAGACAUUCUUUAUGCCUUAGGCAUUGAAAGGAUACUCCUUCCAAAAGGCCUUUCCCAGCGUUUCCCCCUGAAAUCCACUAACCAUAGCAUUUCACUGUUGACACUGCCAUAUAGUGCUAAGUGCAGUUGUCUAACUCCUACUGCCACAGAGAUUCAAGUGUACAAUGGCUUACACGUGUGAGAAGAUUAUUUCUUGUUCAGAUAUCAAAUGCAGAAUAAGCAGUCCAGAGAGGAGAUGACAGCUUUAUGGUGUUGGGGACCUAUGCUCCUUCUGACUUGCUGUUCUAUCAUCCCUUGGACGGUGGCCUCAUCUCCUUGGAUCCAGAUGGAUCACUACCACAUUCCAGCCAGUGGGAAGGGGGAAAUGCAUUUCCUUUUCCUUUAAAUGCGGGAGCCAGAGUUUGCACACCUCACUUCACUCACACCUUGCCAGCCAGAACGUAGUUACAGGGUCACAUCAAGCUUGAAGGAGAGCUGGCAAAUGAAGUCUAUUUUGGGUGGCCAUGUGCCCAGCUAAAAGUUGGGAAUUCUAUUAUUAAAGAGGAAGAGGAAGAGAAGAAUGCAUAUCCCACCAUUCUGUCACCGUUUUUGACUGCUCUCCACUCACUAUCCAGUCUGUCACAUGCUGGCACAUCCCAUUCCUGAUGCCUUUCCUAUGGGGCUCUAUUCUUCAUCCCCACCAAUACCACCAUGCAUUGGGCCCUUCCUGCUUUAUACCCACUGUCUCAUUAGAACGUCCUAGCUGAUCCCUUUGCUUUCAGUCACCUUCUGUGAUCAUUCUAUUAAUAAAUAGCAAAUCUGAUCAUAUGCCCCUAUUGUUUAGAAAUCAAUGGCUCCCCACUGCCCAUAGCAGUAAGAUUUUGAAUCCUUUUUUUUUUGAGACAGGGUCUCAUUCUGUCACCUAGCCUGGAGUGUAGUGGUGAGAUCACAGUCAUUGCAGCCUUGACCUCCUGGGCUCAAGUGAUCUCCCCACCUUAGCCUCCCAAGUAGCUGAGACUACAGGCACACAUCACAACGCCUGGCUAGUUAUUAAUUUUUUUUUUUUUGUAGAGAUGGGAUGUCACUAUGUUGCCCAGGCUGGGCUCAAGUGAUCCUCCUGCUUCAGCCUCUCAAAGUGUUGGGAUUACAGGUGUGAGCAACUGCAUUCAGCUGAGUGCAGAUUUUUGAAUCCCUGAAGUUGUAUGCAAAUUUUGCCU